UGCCUGCACCUGACUUUGAGUGGUACCGGGAUGACACUAGGAUAAAUAGUGCCAAUGGCCUUGAGAUUAAGAGCACGGAGGGCCAGUCUUCCCUGACGGUGACCAACGUCACUGAGGAGCACUAUGGCAACUACACCUGCGUGGCUGCCAACAAGCUGGGGGUCACCAAUGCCAGCCUAGUCCUUUUCAAACGUGUUUUACCCACAAUCCCCCACCCCAUUCAAGAAAUUGGUACCACCGUGCACUUCAAGCAAAAAGUCCUGCUGCAGCUGAAUUUUGUUCCUUGAGUCAACAUUAAAAGCCUUGACCCAUUUCACAAAUCAAUGCCUUUGAUUCAGGACCUGGGUCGGUGAGAGGAAUAAAUGGAUCCAUCAGUCUGGCCGUACCACUGUGGCUGCUGGCAGCAUCUCUGCUCUGCCUUCUCAGCAAAUGUUAAUAGAAUAAAAAUUUAAAAAUAAUUUAAAAAACACACAAAAA
rnacentral:sRNA from 1 species